rnacentral:tRNA from 1 species
AUAGCUAUUAAUUUCAAUUGAAUUUUUUAUUGUGAUUAAAAAAGUUUUUAGCUAU